rnacentral:rRNA from 1 species
CCUGCGGGAGGCUGCAGUGGGGAAUAUUGGACAAUGGGCGAAAGCCUGAUCCAGCCAUGCCGCGUGUGUGAAGAAGGCCUUCGGGUUGUAAAGCACUUUCAGUGGGGAAGAAAGCCUUGGGGCUAAUACCCUCGAGGAAGGACAUCACCCACAGAAGAAGCACCGGCUAACUCCGUGCCAGCAGCCGCGGUAAUACGGAGGGUGCGAGCGUUAAUCGGAAUUACUGGGCGUAAAGCGCGCGUAGGCGGUCUGAUAAGCCGGUUGUGAAAGCCCCGGGCUCAACCUGGGAACGGCAUCCGGAACUGUCAGGCUAGAGUGCAGGAGAGGAAGGUAGAAGUCCCGGUGUAGCGGUGAAAUGCGUAGAGAUCGGGAGGAAUACCAGUGGCGAAGGCGGCCUUCUGGACUGACACUGACGCUGAGGUGCGAAAGCGUGGGUAGCAAACAGGAUUAGAUACCCUAGUAGUC